UCCAAAGUGUCACUGAAGGGAUUACUACACCAUCCAAGUCCGCACACGAAAUUUUCAACCCUGAUGACUGAAGCCGACUAGAGGUCUGCAAAUUCGAGUUUGAAUACCCAAGAUUUGAUGUAAGACAAGCAAACUUUGAUUGGUGGUCAGAAAUUACUGUCAAAGAAAGGGUUUUCCUCCUGUCGCCCCCCUUGUAUGAUUUAUGUGAGUUUUGUUGCCUGUCACAUUGGGGU
rnacentral:lncRNA from 10 species